rnacentral:tRNA from 1 species
GGCCUCGUAACUCAGCUAGUAGAGCGUGCGCUGUACAAAGCGUUGGCGGCGUCCAUGCGUGGGUUCGAAUCCCACCGAGGCUA